UGAAUACGAGAUGCUACGGCGUCGAAGCAGUCUAUGUCAUACUUCCAAGAAAAGCUUGCACUGUCAUAAACAAAUAAUGCCUGUACCAUAACCGACACAGGUGGGUAGGUAGAGUAUACUAAGGGGCGCGAGAUAACUCUCUCUAAGGAACUCGGCAAAAUGACUCCGUAACUUCGGGAGAAGGAGUGCCUUAUUUUAUAAGGUUGCAAUAACAAGAUCCAAGCAACUGUUUACCAAAAACACAGGUCUCCGCUAAGUCGUAAGACGAUGUAUGGGGGCUGACGCCUGCCCAGUGCCAGAAGGUUAAAGAAGUUGGUUAGCAUCCGCGAAGCUGAUAACUGAAGCCCUGGUGAACGGCGGCCGUAACAAUAACGGUCCUAAGGUAGCGAAAUUCCUUGUCGGGUAAGUUCCGACCCGCACGAAAGGCGUAAUGAUUUGGAUACUGUCUCAGAGAGGGGCUCGGUGAAAUAGACUUGUCUGUGAAGAUGCGGACUACCUGCACCAGGACAGAAAGACCCUAUGAAGCUUUACUGUAACUUAAAAUUGAAAUUGGACUUUACUUGCGCAGUAUAGGUGGGAGGCGUUGAGAAUAUUCUUGCGGGAAUGUUGGAGCCAUCAGUGAGAUACCACUCUUGUAAUGUUAGAUUUCUAACUUUGUAUCAUUAUCUGGUCAAAGGACAGUUUCAGGCGGGCAGUUUGACUGGGGCGGUCGCCUCCCAAACGGUAACGGAGGCGCACAAAGGUUUCCUCUGAACGGGUAGAAAUCGUAUCUAGAGUGUAAAGGCAUAAGGAAGCUUGACUGUGAGACCUACAAGUCGAGCAGGGACGAAAGUCGGUCUUAGUGAUCUGACGGUGCUGAGUGGAAAGGCCGUCACUCAACGGAUAAAAGUUACUCUAAGGAUAACAGGCUGAUCUCCCCCAAGAGUUCACAUCGACGGGGAGGUUUGGCACCUCGAUGUCGGCUCAUCGCAUCCUGGGGCGGUAGUACGUCCCAAGGGUUGGGCUGUUCGCCCAUGAAAGCGGUACGCGAGCUGGGUUCAGAACGUCGUGAGACAGUUCGGUCCAUAUCCGGUGUAGGCGUUAGAAUAUUGAGAGGAGCCUUCUUUAGUACGAGAGGACCGAGAAGGACAUACCUCUGGUGUACCAGUUAUCGUGCCAACGGUAAACGCUGGGUAGCUAUGUAUGGAGUGGAUAACCGCUGAAAGCAUCUAAGUGGGAAGCCCACCUCAAGAUAAG
rnacentral:rRNA from 1 species